AGUGAACGCUGGCGGUAGGCCUAACACAUGCAAGUCGAACGGCAGCACAGUAAGAGCUUGCUCUUACGGGUGGCGAGUGGCGGACGGGUGAGGAAUACAUCGGAAUCUACUUUUUCGUGGGGGAUAACGUAGGGAAACUUACGCUAAUACCGCAUACGACCUACGGGUGAAAGCAGGGGAUCUUCUGACCUUGCGCGAUUGAUUGAGCCGAUGUCGGAUUAGCUAGUUGGCGGGGUAAAGGCCCACCAAGGCGACGAUCCGUAGCUGGUCUGAGAGGAUGAUCAGCCACACUGGAACUGGGACACGGUCCAGAAUCCUACGGGAGGCAGCAGUGGGGAAUAUUGGACAAUGGGCGCAAGCCUGAUCCAGCCAUACCGCGUGGGUGAAGAAGGCCUUCGGGUUGUAAAGCCCUUUUGUUGGGAAAGAAAAGCAGCAGGUUAAUACCCCGCUGUUCUGACGGUACCCAAAGAAUAAGCACCGGCUAACUUCGUG
rnacentral:rRNA from 1 species